rnacentral:rRNA from 1 species
CCUACGGGUGGCAGCAGUGGGGGAUAUUGCACAUUGGGGGGAACCCUGAUGCAGCGACGCCGCGUGGGUGAAGAAGCGCCUCGGCGCGUAAAGCCCUGUCAGCAGGGAAGAAAAUGACGGUACCUGAAGAAGAAGCCCCGGCUAACGACGUGCCAGCAGCCGCGGUAAUACGUAGGGGGCACGCGUGCUCCGGAUUUACUGGGGGUAAAGGGGGCGCAGACGGCGAUGCAAGCCAGGAGUGAAAGCCCGGGGCCAAACCCCGGGACUGCUCUUGGAACUGGGGGGCUGGAGUGCAGGAGGGGCAGGCGGAAUGCCUGGUGUAGCGGUGAAAUGCGUAGAUAUCACGCAGAACCCCGAUUGCGAAGGCAGCAUGCCGGCUGCCGACUGACGCUGAAGCACGAAAGCGUGGGGAUCGAACAGGAUUAGAUACCCCUGUAGUC